GACGAACGCUGGCGGCGUGCUUAACACAUGCAAGUCGAACGGAAAGGCCCUUCGGGGUACUCGAGUGGCGAACGGGUGAGUAACACGUGGGUGAUCUGCCCUGCACUUUGGGAUAAGCCUGGGAAACUGGGUCUAAUACCGAAUAGGACCACGCGCUUCAUGGUGUGUGGUGGAAAGCUUUUGCGGUGUGGGAUGGGCCCGCGGCCUAUCAGCUUGUUGGUGGGGUAAUGGCCUACCAAGGCGACGACGGGUAGCCGACCUGGGAGGGUGAUCGGCCACACUGGGACUGAGACACGGCCCAGACUCCUACGGGAGGCAGCAGUGGGGAAUAUUGCACAAUGGGCGCAAGCCUGAUGCAGCGACGCCGCGUGAGGGAUGACGGCCUUCGGGUUGUAAACCUCUUUCACCAGGGACGAAGCGGAAGUGACGGUACCUGGAGAAGAAGCACUGGCCAACUACGUGCCAGCCGCCGCCGUAAUAC
rnacentral:rRNA from 1 species